rnacentral:misc_RNA from 1 species
GUGAAUCAUCGAAUUUUUGAACGCAAAUUGCACUCUCUGGUAUUCCGGAGAGUAUGCCGGUUUGAGGGCCAGUUUAAAUAAAAAUCGGUGUGGUUGCUGCCUUUCGUGGUGACGCACCGGCUUUGGGUCGUCUUGCCUUUGGUUAAGUGACCUAAAAUUUUUCAUGAUUUUUUUCGAACGUAUUUAAAUGUUUUUACGUACGUUUGCGAUGUAUAAUGCUAGUUGUGGUCAAC